rnacentral:rRNA from 1 species
GAUGAACGCUAGCGGGAGGCUUAAUACAUGCAAGUCGAGGGGCAGCGGAAAACUUCGGUUUUGCCGGCGACCGGCGCACGGGUGAGUAACGCGUACGCGACCUACCUUCAAGAAGGGAAUAGCCCCGGGGAAAACUGGGAUUAAUACCCUAUGGUGAUUAUAGAGCUGCAUGGUUUUAUAAUUAAAGUUCAGGCGCUUGAAGAUGGGCGUGCGUGCUAUUAGGUAGUUGGUGAGGUAAUGGCUCACCAAGCCGACGAUAGCUAGGGGGCGUGAGAGCGUGAUCCCCCACACGGGUACUGAGACACGGACCCGACUCCUACGGGAGGCAGCAGUAAGGAAUAUUGGACAAUGGGGGCAACCCUGAUCCAGCCAUCCCGCGUGCAGGAUGACAGCCCUAUGGGUCGUAAACUGCUUUUGUAAGAGAAGAAUCCUUUUCAUUUAUGAGAAGUUGACGGUAUCUUAAGAAUAAGCACCGGCUAACUCCGUG